UAGAAAGAAAAGGCAGUAUAGUAAGUGGUA
rnacentral:piRNA from 1 species